rnacentral:rRNA from 1 species
CCUACGGGAGGCUGCAGUGGGGAAUUUUCCGCAAUGGGCGAAAGCCUGACGGAGCAAUACCGCGUGAGGGAGGAAGGCUCUUGGGUUGUAAACCUCUUUUCUCAGGGAAUAAGAAAGUGAAGGUACCUGAGGAAUAAGCAUCGGCUAACUCCGUGCCAGCAGCCGCGGUAAUACGGAGGAUGCAAGCGUUAUCCGGAAUGAUUGGGCGUAAAGCGUCCGCAGGUGGCACUGUAAGUCUGCUGUUAAAGAGCAAGGCUCAACCUUGUAAAGGCAGUGGAAACUACAGAGCUAGAGUACGUUCGGGGCAGAGGGAAUUCCUGGUGUAGCGGUGAAAUGCGUAGAGAUCAGGAAGAACACCGGUGGCGAAAGCGCUCUGCUAGGCCGUAACUGACACUCAUGUACGAAAGCUAGGGGAGCGAAUGGGAUUAGAUACCCUGGUAGUC